GGGAGUUUAAUUUAAAAAACAAGAAUCUUCUAAAUUCAUAAUAAUGGUUCAAUUCCAUUAACUUGUA
rnacentral:tRNA from 1 species